rnacentral:rRNA from 1 species
UACGGGGGGGGCAAGCGUUGUUCGGAAUUACUGGGCGUAAAGGGCUCGUAGGUGGCCAACUAAGUCAGACGUGAAAUCCCUCGGCUUAACCGGGGAACUGCGUCUGAUACUGGAUGGCUUGAGUUUGGGAGAGGGAUGCGGAAUUCCAGGUGUAGCGGUGAAAUGCGUAGAUAUCAGGAGGAACACCGGUGGCGAAGGCGCUCAUCUGGCCCAAUACUGACGCUGAGGCGCGAAAGCUAGGGGAGCAAACGGG